rnacentral:rRNA from 1 species
AACGAACGCUGGCGGCAUGCCUAACACAUGCAAGUCGAACGAGAUCUUCGGGUCUAGUGGCGCACGGGUGCGUAACGCGUGGGAAUCUGCCCUUUGGUUCGGAAUAACAGUUGGAAACGACUGCUAAUACCGGAUGAUGACGAAAGUCCAAAGAUUUAUCGCCAGAGGAUGAGCCCGCGUAGGAUUAGCUAGUUGGUGUGGUAAAGGCGCACCAAGGCGACGAUCCUUAGCUGGUCUGAGAGGAUGAUCAGCCACACUGGGACUGAGACACGGCCCAGACUCCUACGGGAGGCAGCAGUGGGGAAUAUUGGACAAUGGGCGAAAGCCUGAUCCAGCAGUGCCGCGUGAGUGAUGAAGGACUUAGGGUUGUAAAGCUCUUUUACCCGGGAUGAUAAUGACAGUACCGGGAGAAUAAGCUCCGGCUAACUCCGUGCCAGCCGCCGCGGUAA